rnacentral:rRNA from 1 species
GGGCAGUUUUGACUGGGGCGGUCGCCUCCUAAAAGGUAACGGAGGCGUGCAAAGGUUCCCUCAGGCUGGUUGGACAUCAGUCGUAGAGUGUAAAGGCAUGAGGGAGCUUGACUGCGAGACCAACAGGUCGAGCAGAGACGAAAGUCGGCCUUAGUGAUCCGGCGCUUCCGAGUGGAAGGGGCGUCACUCAACGGAUAAAAGUUACUCUAGGGAUAAC